rnacentral:rRNA from 1 species
GACGAACGCUGGCGGCGUGCUUAACACAUGCAAGUCGAACGGAAAGGCCCUGCUUUUGUGGGGUGCUCGAGUGGCGAACGGGUGAGUAACACGUGAGUAACCUGCCCUUGACUUUGGGAUAACUUCAGGAAACUGGGGCUAAUACCGGAUAGGAGCUCCUGCUGCAUGGUGGGGGUUGGAAAGUUUCGGCGGUUGGGGAUGGACUCGCGGCUUAUCAGCUUGUUGGUGGGGUAGUGGCUUACCAAGGCUUUGACGGGUAGCCGGCCUGAGAGGGUGACCGGCCACAUUGGGACUGAGAUACGGCCCAGACUCCUACGGGAGGCAGCAGUGGGGAAUAUUGCACAAUGGGCGGAAGCCUGAUGCAGCAACGCCGCGUGCGGGAUGACGGCCUUCGGGUUGUAAACCGCUUUCGCCUGUGACGAAGCGUGAGUGACGGUAAUGGGUAAAGAAGCACCGGCUAACUACGUGCCAGCAGCCGCGGUGAUACGUAGGGUGCGAGCGUUGUCCGGAUUUAUUGGGCGUAAAGGGCUCGUAGGUGGUUGAUCGCGUCGGAAGUGUAAUCUUGGGGCUUAACCCUGAGCGUGCUUUCGAUACGGGUUGACUUGAGGAAGGUAGGGGAGAAUGGAAUUCCUGGUGGAGCGGUGGAAUGCGCAGAUAUCAGGAGGAACACCAGUGGCGAAGGCGGUUCUCUGGGCCUUUCCUGACGCUGAGGAGCGAAAGCGUGGGGAGCGAACAGGCUUAGAUACCCUGGUAGUCCACGCUGUAAACGGUGGGUACUAGGUGUGGGGUCCAUUCCACGGGUUCCGUGACGUAGCUAACGCUUUAAGUACCCCGCCUGGGGAGUACGGCCGCAAGGCUAAAACUCAAAGGAAUUGACGGGGCCCCGCACAAGCGGCGGAGCAUGCGGAUUAAUUCGAUGCAACGCGUAGAACCUUACCUGGGUUUGACAUGGAUCGGGAGUGCUCAGAGAUGGGUGUGCCUCUUUUGGGGUCGGUUCACAGGUGGUGCAUGGCUGUCGUCAGCUCGUGUCGUGAGAUGUUGGGUUAAGUCCCGCAACGAGCGCAACCCUUGUUCACUGUUGCCAGCACGUUAUGGUGGGGACUCAGUGGAGACCGCCGGGGUCAACUCGGAGGAAGGUGGGGAUGACGUCAAGUCAUCAUGCCCCUUAUGUCCAGGGCUUCACGCAUGCUACAAUGGCUGGUACAGAGAGUGGCGAGCCUGUGAGGGUGAGCGAAUCUCGGAAAGCCGGUCUCAGUUCGGAUUGGGGUCUGCAACUCGACCUCAUGAAGUCGGAGUCGCUAGUAAUCGCAGAUCAGCAACGCUGCGGUGAAUACGUUCCCGGGGCUUGUACACACCGCCCGUCAAGUCAUGAAAGUUGGUAACACCCGAAGCCGGUGGCCUAACCGUUGUGGGGGAGCCGUCGAAGGUGGGACUGGUAA